rnacentral:rRNA from 1 species
CCGGCCCUCCGCGAGCACCCGCGGGGGAUCGGGUUCCGGACCCGGUCCGAUCCCGUUCCCACCGAGGGGCUGUCCGCGAUCAUGGAGGUGUCCUCGGACGGCGUCGAAUCCUUCUCCAGUCCGCGACGCUACGGCUUGGAUGGUCCACCCGACCCGUCUUGAAACACGGACCAAGGAGUCUAACAUGCGCGCGAGUCGUUGGGUCGGACACGCUCCGCUAAACCCAUAGGCGCAAUGAAAGUGAAGGCCGCCGUCGGGCGGCCGAGGGAGGACGGGGCCGCUCGCGCGUUCCGGCGCGCGUCGGUCCCCGCACCCCCCGGGGCGUCUGAUCCCUCAUCGCGAGGGGAGGCGCACCCAGAGCGCACACGUUGGGACCCGAAAGAUGGUGAACUAUGCCUGGCCAGGACGAAGUCAGGGGAAACCCUGAUGGAGGUCCGUAGCGAUUCUGACGUGCAAAUCGAUCGUCGGAGCUGGGUAUAGGGGCGAAAGACUAAUCGAACCAUCUAGUAGCUGGUUCCCUCCGAAGUUUCCCUCAGGAUAGCUUGCGCUCGGAGGAGAGUCUCAUCCGGUAAAGCGAAUGAUUAGAGGCCUUGGGGCCGAAACGGCUUCAACCUAUUCUCAAACUUUAAAUGGGUGAGAACUCCGGCUUGCUCGACUUGUCGAAGCCGGAGACGGGGCUCCGGCCCCCGGGAUCGGAGUGCAUAGUGGGCCACUUUUGGUAAGCAGAACUGGCGCUGUGGGAUGAACCAAACGACGGGUUAAGGCGCCCGAAUCGACGCUCAUGGGAAACCAUGAAAGGUGUUGGUUGCUUAAGACAGCAGGACGGUGGCCAUGGAAGUCGGAAUCCGCUAAGGAGUGUGUAAUAACUCACCUGCCGAAGCAACUAGCCCUGAAAAUGGAUGGCGCUGAAGCGUCGUGCCUAUACCCGGCCGUCGCGGCAGGGCGGACCCGCGAGGGUGCCGUUCGAUGCGGCGACGAGUAGGAGGGUCGCGGCGGCGCGCGCAGAAGGGUCUGGGCUCGAGCCUGCCUGGAGCCGCCGCCGGUGCAGAUCUUGGUGGUAGUAGCAAAUACUCCAGCGAGGCCCUGGAGGACUGAUGUGGAGAAGGGUUUCGUGUGAACAGCCGUUGCACACGAGUCAGUCGAUCCUAAGCCCUAGGAGAAAUCCGACGCCAACGGCGACGGGAAAAAACGAACGAUUGAGAAAGAAACCCGUUGAUCGGGCGAAAGGGAAUCCGGUUCCUAUUCCGGAACCCGGCAGCGGAACCGCUGUUUGUCGGGCCCUCACAAGGGGUUCGUCAGGGUAACCUAAAAGGGCCCGGAGACGCCGUCGGGAGCCCCGGAAAGAGUUUUCUUUUCUGCAUGAGCGUUCGAGUUCCCUGGAAUCCU